rnacentral:snRNA from 1 species
AUCGCUUCUCGGCCUUUUGGCUAAGAUCAAGUGUAAAGAAUGAAGUAUCUUAUUUUUGUUAUUAGAUUUAUUUCUGCCUUUAUCACCCUCU